UACGGAGGGGGCUAGCGUUGUUCGGAAUUACUGGGCGUAAAGGGCUCGUAGGUGGCCAACUAAGUCAGACGUGAAAUCCCCAGGCUCAACUUGGGAACUGCGUCUGAUACUGGAUGGCUUGAAUUCGGGAGAGGGAUGCAGAAUUCCAGGUGUAGCGGUGAAAUGCGUAGAUAUCUGGAGGAAUACCGGUGGCGAAGGCGGCAUCCUGGACCGAUAUUGACACUGAUGAGCGAAAGCCAGGGGAGCAAACGGG
rnacentral:rRNA from 1 species